GUGCCGGGGGCCAGGCGGGGUGAGCGGCGCCCCGCCAGGUGUGUGUAGCCUGCUGGCCUUGCCAGAGGGACCAGGGGCGGGGGGCAGCAGGCCCGGCGGCGAGCCGGCAGACCUGCUCAGCCGUGAUUAUGUGCAGAGCUGACUCCCUCCCUCUCUCCCUCGGUCUCGUCCGCUGCUGAGCGAGGUGUCAAAGGAGCGAGGAGAGCUGUGCGGGCCGGGAGGCGUUCAUCCGGAGAGGGAAUUUGAAACGAUGUUCCAUAGCCCUCAUUCAGGCGAGGAGAGUGUUGGUGCCACGCUCUGUUUGACAGGCAGCCUUCAAACUCUCGCCCGGCUUUUUAUUUUUAAUCUCUGUCAGGAUGCCGCAGUUCGAGAGCCGUGAGUCAGUGUGAAUCCGAGCGCUGCUCCCGUGUGGGCUGCUGGAAAGGAGGUCCCCGCCGCAGAUGCCUCGGGCGGAAGCAGCUGCAGCACUUUCACUUCAAGGCUGUGAGCGUGACACUGGGGUGACUGCAACAGGCUGAGCAGUGCUCCUGCCGCAUGCUGUCCCUAUGCCGCGGUGAAAAACAGCCACAGUAAAAACAGGAUGCAGAAGGAAAUAGGAAAGGUAUCAAGCAAGAAGAACACUUUGCUUUAGAGAAGACUGCAUUAGGAAAUAAAUAUUCGGGAUACCUUUCAAGUCUCAGGCCAGAAAACCUGCUUGAGUUUCUCUCAAAACGGAAUGCUCUGCUGCAUCAUCCUAUGUAGCAAUCUGUGUGGAUUGUUUGUGUUUUUGUGGGUUUUAAGUUUUGUUGUUGUAAUUUGUUUUUUUUUUCCUGAACCAGAAACGAGGAUUGUAGAAAGAUGUCUCUUCAUGCAUUUUUCUGAUAAAACAAAAUGCCUGAAAACAA